rfam:Gossypium hirsutum cultivar TM-1 chromosome 6, whole genome shotgun sequence
AACCCAUGGUGAGGGCACCUUCUCAGUAAGUCCUUGUAUCUCUUCCAUGCAUCAUAAAGAGUUUCUAAGUUCAUCUGCACAAACAAAAAGAUAUCAUUGCGUAAUUU